rnacentral:tRNA from 1 species
GGGCCUGUAGCUCAACGGUUAGAGCAGGGGACUCAUAAUCCCUUGGUUCCGGGUUCGAAUCCCGGCGGGCCCA